rnacentral:lncRNA from 1 species
UAAGAAUGUGAAAAAUAACUUUCAGAUUACAUAAUCCAUAAUAUUAUAAAAAGACAUUUUUGAAAAUACAAAAAUUUAUGGAGGUGGAAGAAGAACAUAUGGAGGUGCAGGAAGAAAUAGUCUCGUUCACAACUGAUGGCAUUUUCAUGUGUUCUUCUUGAAUCAAAGUAGAAAAUAAGGUGCGGAAGCAAUGGGUGAGAUGAUCAAGACCCUCCUAGGAGUUGUGUUGGCCUUGUAGGUGCAUGAUGUAGGCUCCUCCUUUUAUAGGCUAAGGAGGACCAUAAUGCAACCCUAAUGCUAGCCAAAUGAAAUGUAAAUGUGAAGCACAUGGGUGCACAUGGCACAUGGGUGCACAAAUGAGCACAUGGGGAGGGGUGUGUCUAGUUUUUAUGUUCACCCAAAUAUGCUUUCUACACUACUCUAAUUACUAAGCACUCCUAUUGGGCCUUUAUGUAACAAUUACAAAGGUCUUCUCUUCCCAAAACCGUAGCUUUGACCCAUGUGUAUGUGAAGCUAGACGGUCUAGAAGGAAUCCUCAUCAUGGCCUAGACGCUCCUUAUGUAGCCACUCCUCAUCAUGGCCUAGACGCUCCUCUUCAUGGGCUAGACGCUCCUUUUUGAGUCUAGACGCUCCUCAUCAUAGGCUAGACCGUCUAGUCUUGGAGGCUUGGCUUUCAUCGUGUGGUGAGCUUGGGCCCUCCUCCA